rnacentral:rRNA from 1 species
GGUUAAAAAAUCAAAGGAACUAAGGGCGCACAGCGGAUGCCUUGGCACUAAGAGCCGAUGAAGGACGCAAUUAACGGCGAAACGCCACGGGAAGCUGUAAAUAAGUGAAGAUCCGUGGGUCUCCGAAUGGGAAAACCCAUUACAUUGAAGAUGUAAUAUUCUUCUAAUCCGAUUUAUCUUGUUAGAAGAAAGGAAACGCGGCGAACUGAAAUAUCUAAGUAACCGCAGGAAAAGAAAGUAAUAACGAUUCUGGUAGUAGUGACGAGCGAACCCAGAACAGCCUGAUAUCAUUUGUAGUUAUAAAAUUUUAACGAAGUAGAAGCUUUUGGAAAGAAGCACCAAAGAAGGUGACAGUCCCGUAAACGUAAGUUAAAAUCUAGGGUAUCAAUAAGUACGGCGAGACACGAGAAAUCUUGUCGGAAGAUGGGAGGACCAUCUCCUAAGGCUAAAUACUUCUUAGUGACCGAUAGUGAACUAGUACCGUGAGGGAAAGGUGAAAAGAACCCCGAAAGGGGAGUGAAAUAGAUCCUGAAACUGUGUGCCUACAAUUAGUCAAAGCACGUUAAUGUGUGAUGGCUUGCCUUUUGCAGAAUGAACCGGCGAGUUAUGAUAUGGAGCAAGGUUAAGUU